CCUACGGGUGGCAGCAGUAGGGAAUCUUCCACAAUGGGCGCAAGCCUGAUGGAGCAACACCGCGUGAGUGAAGAAGGGCUUCGGCUCGUAAAGCUCUUUUGUUGGAGAAGAACGUGCGUGAGAGUAUCUGCUCACGCAGUGACGGUAUCCAACCAGAAAGUCACGGCUAACUACGUGCCAGCAGCCGCGGUAAUACGGAGGUGGCAAGCAUUAACCGGAUUUAUUGGGCGUAAAGCGAGCGCAGGCGGUUGCUUAGGUCUGAUGUGAAAGCCUCCGGCUUAACCGAGGAAGUGCAUCGGAAACUGGCCGGCUUGAGUCCGGUAGAGGGCAGUGGAAUUCCAGGUGUAGCGGUGAAAUGCGUAGAUAUAUGGAAGAACACCGGUGGCGAAGGCGGCUGUCUGGACUGCAACUGACGCUGAGGCUCGAAAGCGUGGGUAGCGAACAGGAUUAGAUACCCUGGUAGUC
rnacentral:rRNA from 1 species